CCCUUAGAUGUCCGGGGCCGCACGCGCGCUACACUGAAGGAAUCAGCGUGGCUUUCUCCCUGACCCGAAAGGGUUGGGAAACCCGUUGAAUCUCCUUCGUGAUAGGGCUUGGGGCUUGAAAUUGUUCCCCAUGAACGAGGAAUUCCCAGUAAGCGCGAGUCAUAAGCUCGCGUUGAUUACGUCCCUGCCCUUUGUACACACCGCCCGUCGCUACUACCGAUUGAACGGUUUAGUGAGGGCCUCGGAUUGGUCUCGGCCCGCUCUUUACCGGGCGGCGCCGUUGGUCGAGAAGACGCUCGAACUUGAUCGUUUAGAGGAAGUAAAAGUCGUAACA
rnacentral:rRNA from 1 species